rnacentral:rRNA from 1 species
GCGGCAUGCUUAUAACUGCAAGGUUCAACGUGAAAGACCUUCGGGUCGAGUAAAUGUGGCGCACGGGUGAGUAACGCGUAGAUAAUCUGCCCCGCUGUCUGGGAUAACCUUUCGAAAGGGAGGCUAAUACCGGAUAACACAAUUUCUUUUAAGGGAGUCGUUGAAAGUUGCGGCGCAACGGGAUGAGUCUGCGUCCCAUUAGCUAGUUGGUGGGGUAAAGGCCUAACAAUGCGACGAUGGGUAACGGGUUUGAGAGGACGAUCCGGCACACUGGAACUGAGACACGGUCCAGACUCCUACGGGAGGCAACAGUAGGGAAUAUUGCGCAAUGGGGGCAACCCUGACGCAGCAAUGCCGCGUGAGUGAAGAAGGCCUUCGGGUCGUAAAGCUCUUUUAUGGGGGAAGAUGAUGACGGUACCCCAUGAAUAAGCACCGGCUAACUACGUGCCAGCAG